GACGAACGCUGGCGGCGUGCUUAACACAUGCAAGUCGAACGAUGAAGAAGAGAAACGCGAACUUCGGUUCAAAUUUCACUUCGGAUUAGUGGCAGACGGGUGAGUAACGCGUGAGCAACCUACCUCUUACAAAGGGAUAGCCUCGGGAAACCGUGAUUAAUACCAUAUGACACAUUCAUAAGGCAUCUUAAGAAUGUUAAAGCUACGGCGGUAAGAGAUGGGCUCGCGUCCCAUUAGCUAGUUGGUGAGGUAACGGCCCACCAAGGCGACGAUGGGUAACCGGCCUGAGAGGGUGAACGGUCACAUUGGAACUGAGACACGGUCCAAACUCCUACGGGAGGCAGCAGUGGGGAAUAUUGCACAAUGGAGGGAACUCUGAUGCAGCGACGCCGCGUGAGCGAUGAAGGAAUUCGUGUCGUAAAGCUCUGUUCUAUGGGAAGAAAAGGACUGUACCAUAGGAGAAGGCCCCGGCUAAAUACGUG
rnacentral:rRNA from 1 species